rnacentral:snoRNA from 1 species
AUGCAGUGAUGAUCUCUUAAAUUAUACUUUCAACUCACUGAUUCUUCAAUGAAGAUGUGAAUUUCCUUGGCUGUGUCUGAGCAU